CCUACGGGUGGCAGCAGUGGGGAAUAUUGGGCAAUGGACGCAAGUCUGACCCAGCAACGCCGCGUGAAGGAAGAAGGCUUUCGGGUUGUAAAACUCUUUUAGUGGGGAAGAGCAGAAGACGGUACCCCUCUAAUAAGCCACGGCUAACUACGUGCCAGCAGCCGCGGUCAUACGUAGGUGGCAAGCGCUGUCCGGAUUUCCUGGGUGUAAAGGGCGUGCAGCCGGGGAGGUAAGUCAGAUGUGAAAUCCACGGGCUCAACCCGUGAACUGCAUUUGAAACUGUUUCCCUUGAGUGUCGGAGAGGUAAGCGGAAUGCCUGGUGUAGCGGUGAAAUGCGUAGAUAUAAGGAAGAACACCAGUGGCGAAGGCGGAUUACUGGACGAUAACUGACGGUGAGGCGCGAAAGCGUGGGGAGCAAACAGGAUUAGAUACCCCAGUAGUC
rnacentral:rRNA from 1 species